rnacentral:rRNA from 1 species
AACCUGGUUGAUCCUGCCAGUAGUCAUAUGCUUGUCUCAAAGACUAAGCCAUGCAUGUGCAAGUAUAAACGCUUGAACCGUGAGACUGCGAAUGGCUCAUUAAAUCAGUUAUAGUUUAUUUGAUGGUGCUUACUACGUGGAUAACCGUGGUAAUUCUAGAGCUAAUACAUGCAAGAGGUCCCGACUUGUUGGAAGGGAUGUAUUUAUUAGAUCCAAAACCAAUGCGGGUUGCCGCUUCGGUGGUGCCCGGUACCUUGGUGAUUCAUAGUAACUGCUCGAAUCGUUUGGCCUCCGCGCCGGCGAUGGUUCAUUCAAGUUUCUGCCCUAUCAACUUUCGAUGGUAGGGUAUUGGCCUACCAUGGUUGCAACGGGUGACGGAGAAUUAGGGUUCGAUUCCGGAGAGGGAGCCUGAGAAACGGCUACCACAUCCAAGGAAGGCAGCAGGCGCGCAAAUUACCCAAUCCCGACUCGGGGAGGUAGUGACAAUAAAUAACAAUGCCGGUCCCUAUAGUGGUCCGGCAAUUGGAAUGAGUACAAUCCAAACCCCUUAACGAGGAACAAUUGGAGGGCAAGUCUGGUGCCAGCAGCCGCGGUAAUUCCAGCUCCAAUAGCGUAUAUUAAAGUUGUUGCAGUUAAAAAGCUCGUAGUUGGAUUUCGGGGCCCCAGACGUUCGUUGCGUUUCCUGUUGGACUUGUCUGGCGGGUGCGUGGCGGCCGUCGGUCUCUGAGUCGGAUCGGUCCGCCGAGAGGCGUGUACUGACCGACGGCCCCUGUUGUCUCUCGGGUUGCCCGCCUGCACUUAACUGUUGCGGACGGGGAGUUCGGGACGUUUACUUUGAACAAAUUAGAGUGUUCCAAGCAGGCCGGUUGCUUUGAAUACAUUAGCAUGGGAAUAUGGAAAUAGGGCUGCGUGACUCGUUGCUCUCGGGUGGCGGGUCCUCGUGUCCUAUUUUUGUUGGUUUUCCGGGACCGCCAGUCAUGGUCAAGAGGGAACAGUUGGGGGGCAUUCGUAUUC